UACGAAGGGGGCUAGCGUUGCUCGGAAUCACUGGGCGUAAAGGGCGCGUAGGCGGCUGAUUUAGUCGAGGGUGAAAGCCCGUGGCUCAACCACGGAAUGGCCUUCGAUACUGGUUGGCUUGAGACCGGAAGAGGACAGCGGAACUGCGAGUGUAGAGGUGAAAUUCGUAGAUAUUCGCAAGAACACCAGUGGCGAAGGCGGCUCACUGGCCCGAUACUGACGCUGAGGCACGAAAGCGCGGGGAGCAAACAGG
rnacentral:rRNA from 1 species